GUGCUCAUUUCAGCAGCAUAUGUACUAAAAUUGGAAUGGUAUGGAGAAAAUUAGCAUGGCCCCUGCACAAGAAUGACAUGCAUAGUCUGGAAGCAUUUCUUAUUUUG